rnacentral:rRNA from 1 species
CAAAGAUUUAUCGCUCGAAGAUGGGCUCGCGUCCGAUUAGGUAGUUGGUGAGGUACGGGCCCACCAAGCCGACGAUCGGUAGCCGGACUGAGAGGUUGAACGGCCACAUUGGGACUGAGACACGGCCCAGACUCCUACGGGAGGCAGCAGUGGGGGAUAUUGCACAAUGGGGGAAACCCUGAUGCAGCGACGCCGCGUGUGGGAAGACGGUCUUCUGGAUUGUAAACCACUGUCCCCAGGGACGAAAAUGACGGUACCUGGGGAGGAAGCUCCGGCUAACUACGUGCCAGCAGCCGCGGUAAUACGUAGGGAGCAAGCGUUGUCCGGAAUUACUGGGUGUAAAGGGAGCGUAGGCGGGGAUGCAAGUUGGGUGUCAAAACUACCGGCUCAACCGAUAGUCGCACUCAAAACUGCAGCUCUUGAGUGAAGUAGAGGCAGGCGGAAUUCCUAGUGUAGCGGUGAAAUGCGUAGAUAUUAGGAGGAACACCAGUGGCGAAGGCGGCCUGCUGGGCUUUUACUGACGCUGAGGCUCGAAAGUGUGGGGAGCAAACAGGAUUAGAUACCCUGGUAGUCCACACCGUAAACGAUGAUUACUAGGUGUGGGGGGUCUGACCCCCUCC